rnacentral:rRNA from 1 species
CCCUUAGAUGUUCUGGGCUGCACGCGCGCUACACUGAAGCUAUCAACACGUUUUCCCUCCCUGAGAAGGGCGGGUAACCUUUUGAAUCAGCUUCGUGGUAGGGAUCGGGGCUUGCAAUUGUUCCCCGUGAACCAGGAAUUCCUAGUAGACGCGAGUCAUAAGCUCGCAUCGAUUAAGUCCCUGCCCUUUGUACACACCGCCCGUCGCUCCUACCGAUUGAGUGGUCCGGUGAGGCUUUGGGAUCUGAGCGGAAAGAGCGUUUCGCUGUUUCUGCCCGGAAAACUCAGUCGAACCUUAUCAUUUAGAGGAAGGAGAAGUCGUAACA